GAGAAAAAUAAUGCAUUUGAAUAUCAACCGUAGUUUCGUUUUGACAACUGACGACACACAAGAUUCGAUUUACGAAGUGAAUCUAAAUCUAGUUUUAGUGCAGAUUCGUUCGUACGACACAAAUACACUAGUUUGUUUUACGGAUCUUUUCGGCUUAGAGGACUGGAAUGCUAACAAGAGUUCCACAUUCUGGCGGUGUAGCGUGCGAAGUAAAAAAAAAUGCGUUGUCACGCGACGGUCCUACAGAAAGGCAGUGACUUCCGUCUAUGCUCCAAUGAGCACGUGCACCCAGCUGACCCGAAGCUUCCUCUCUGAUCGAAGUCUUUCACCAUUGUCAAACAGCGUAUCAAGGAACAGCCUCAUGCCCGGGCAAUAAAGGUGUGACAUAAAGUUUUCGUUAAUUAAUAUAAUAAACAAUUAGAGAAAAUUACUGGUCCUUGACGGCUUUGUUACAAACACGCUUACACGUUAAAGAGCGCCGUCUUGAUUUUUCACACAUGUUGGCAAGUUUGUAGCUUAAGUUGUCAUUUAUAUAUUAACAUGUUUAAAAGAUAACAAAUUUCGUUAUAUUUAUUGCUUCCCUGCUUUGAUAAUAAAAUUUAGGGCGAACGGACCCAGGGCAAACUGUCAAUUGUCUCUCUGCCAACCUUCGUUCUACUGCAUUUUUAUUUUGGUGACAUACAUUAUUAAAGAGUACUAAUGCUUUUUUAUGGAUUUGCGCUUCUACUGGUAAUAGUCCACUUAACACGUAUACAGCGAUAUCAGAGGUGUUUGUAGGUAACAUAAAUAGUUGUUUAAAAAAAAACAGGAUUUGUAUGUAAUAGCACACUCUACAAAAAUACAUGUCUGUACAAACCUCACGGGACUUUGGUCUUUUUGGACGCCGCCCAAAGAGACCAAAUGUAAGUGUCCUAACAUAACCUUGACGUUAAUAUAUUCAUAAUAAAUAAAACAAUUGACAAUGGCCGUUAUUGAGUUUUCAUUAUCUACACCUAUCAAACUCUGAUAAACGCAUUGUUUUGGUAUAAACUUGAUCUGACAAGCGUUUACUUUAUCAAUAAAUCGUGUCGGUAGGAUAUUGUGCUUUGUAAUGAUAUUCUAUAUUUAAAACAUUCAAUCCGUGCUGAACGAACUUUUGACAUAUUUACUUUAUCUACAUUCCCACACACAUAACACAUGCCAAUUUUUUGAAAGCGCUAAUCGCAGUUCAAUAUGGACCAUGGUUCGAUCGUGGCUGUUUAUCUUGAUCACGCACGUAGUCAGUGGGAUUUGUGCCAUUUUCUGAAAAUUGUCAUAUUAAAGGGGCCUUUUCACAGAUUUUGGCAUGUAUUGAAGCUUGUCAUUAAAUGCUUUACAUGAUAAAUUUAAACAUUGGACCUAAAAAUCUCCAGUAAAAAACAACAACAAG